UACAGAGGUCUCAAGCGUUGUUCGGAUUCAUUGGGCGUAAAGGGUGUGUAGGUGGCGCGCUAAGUCGGGUGUGAAAUUUCGGAGCUUAACUCCGAAGCUGCAUUCGAUACUGGCGUGCUUGAGGACUGGAGAGGAGACUGGAAUUCAUGGUGUAGCGGUGAAAUGCGUAGAUAUCGUAAGGAAGACCAGUGGCGAAGGCGGGUCUCUGGACAGUUCCUGACACUGAGGCACGAAGGCCAGGGGAGCAAACGGGG
rnacentral:rRNA from 1 species